GGUUAAGCGACUAAGCGUACACGGUGGAUGCCCUGGCAGUCAGAGGCGAUGAAGGACGUGCUAAUCUGCGAAAAGCGCCGGCGAGGUGAUAUGAACCCUUGACCCGGCGAUGUCCGAAUGGGGAAACCCAGUGUGAUUCGUCACACUAUCGUUAACUGAAUACAUAGGUUAACGAGGCGAACCGGGGGAACUGAAACAUCUAAGUACCCCGAGGAAAAGAAAUCAACCGAGAUUCCCCCAGUAGCGGCGAGCGAACGGGGAGCAGCCCAGAGUCUGAAUCAGCUUGUGUGUUAGUGGAAGCGUCUGGAAAGUCGCACGGUACAGGGUGACAGUCCCGUACACGAAAAUGCACAGGUUGUGAACUCGAAGAGUAGGGCGGGACACGUGGUAUCCUGUCUGAAUAUGGGGGGACCAUCCUCCAAGGCUAAAUACUCCUGACUGACCGAUAGUGAACCAGUACCGUGAGGGAAAGGCGAAAAGAACCCCGGCGAGGGGAGUGAAAAAGAACCUGAAACCGUGUACGUACAAGCAGUGGGAGCACCUUCGUGGUGUGACUGCGUACCUUUUGUAUAAUGGGUCAGCGACUUAUAUUCUGUAGCAAGGUUAACCGUAUAGGGGAGCCGAAGGGAAACCGAGUCUUAACUGGGCGUUAAGUUGCAGGGUAUAGACCCGAAACCCGGUGAUCUAGCCAUGGGCAGGUUGAAGGUUGGGUAACACUAACUGGAGGACCGAACCGACUAAUGUUGAAAAAUUAGCGGAUGACUUGUGGCUGGGGGUGAAAGGCCAAUCAAACCGGGAGAUAGCUGGUUCUCCCCGAAAGCUAUUUAGGUAGCGCCUCGUGAAUUCAUCUUCGGGGGUAGAGCACUGUUUCGGCUAGGGGGCCAUCCCGGCUUACCAACCCGAUGCAAACUACGAAUACCGAAGAAUGUUAUCACGGGAGACACACGGCGGGUGCUAACGUCCGUCGUGAAGAGGGAAACAACCCAGACCGCCAGCUAAGGUCCCAAAGUCAUGGUUAAGUGGGAAACGAUGUGGGAAGGCCCAGACAGCCAGGAUGUUGGCUUAGAAGCAGCCAUCAUUUAAAGAAAGCGUAAUAGCUCACUGGUCGAGUCGGCCUGCGCGGAAGAUGUAACGGGGCUAAACCAUGCACCGAAGCUGCGGCAGCGACACUAUGUGUUGUUGGGUAGGGGAGCGUUCUGUAAGCCGUUGAAGGUGGCCUGUGAGGGUUGCUGGAGGUAUCAGAAGUGCGAAUGCUGACAUAAGUAACGAUAAAGCGGGUGAAAAGCCCGCUCGCCGGAAGACCAAGGGUUCCUGUCCAACGUUAAUCGGGGCAGGGUGAGUCGACCCCUAAGGCGAGGCCGAAAGGCGUAGUCGAUGGGAAACAGGUUAAUAUUCCUGUACUUGGUGUUACUGCGAAGGGGGGACGGAGAAGGCUAUGUUAGCCGGGCGACGGUUGUCCCGGUUUAAGCAUGUAGGCGGAGGUUCCAGGUAAAUCCGGUACCUUUUUAACGCUGAGGUGUGAUGACGAGGCACUACGGUGCUGAAGUAACAAAUGCCCUGCUUCCAGGAAAAGCCUCUAAGCAUCAGGUAACACGAAAUCGUACCCCAAACCGACACAGGUGGUCAGGUAGAGAAUACCAAGGCGCUUGAGAGAACUCGGGUGAAGGAACUAGGCAAAAUGGUGCCGUAACUUCGGGAGAAGGCACGCUGAUAUGUAGGUGAAGCCCCUGCGGGUGGAGCUGAAAUCAGUCGAAGAUACCAGCUGGCUGCAACUGUUUAUUAAAAACACAGCACUGUGCAAACACGAAAGUGGACGUAUACGGUGUGACGCCUGCCCGGUGCCGGAAGGUUAAUUGAUGGGGUUAGCGGUAACGCGAAGCUCUUGAUCGAAGCCCCGGUAAACGGCGGCCGUAACUAUAACGGUCCUAAGGUAGCGAAAUUCCUUGUCGGGUAAGUUCCGACCUGCACGAAUGGCGUAAUGAUGGCCAGGCUGUCUCCACCCGAGACUCAGUGAAAUUGAACUCGCUGUGAAGAUGCAGUGUACCCGCGGCAAGACGGAAAGACCCCGUGAACCUUUACUAUAGCUUGACACUGAACACUGGUCCUUGAUGUGUAGGAUAGGUGGGAGGCUUUGAAGCGUGGACGCCAGUCUGCGUGGAGCCAACCUUGAAAUACCACCCUUUAAUGGCUGGUGUUCUAACGUAGACCCGUGAUCCGGGUUGCGGACAGUGUCUGGUGGGUAGUUUGACUGGGGCGGUCUCCUCCCAAAGAGUAACGGAGGAGCACGAAGGUUAGCUAAUCCUGGUCGGACAUCAGGAGGUUAGUGCAAUGGCAUAAGCUAGCUUGACUGCGAGAGUGACGGCUCGAGCAGGUGCGAAAGCAGGUCAUAGUGAUCCGGUGGUUCUGAAUGGAAGGGCCAUCGCUCAACGGAUAAAAGGUACUCCGGGGAUAACAGGCUGAUACCGCCCAAGAGUUCAUAUCGACGGCGGUGUUUGGCACCUCGAUGUCGGCUCAUCACAUCCUGGGGCUGAAGUAGGUCCCAAGGGUAUGGCUGUUCGCCAUUUAAAGUGGUACGCGAGCUGGGUUUAGAACGUCGUGAGACAGUUCGGUCCCUAUCUGCCGUGGGCGCUGGAGAAUUGAGGGGGGCUGCUCCUAGUACGAGAGGACCGGAGUGGACGCAUCACUGGUGUUCGGGUUGUCAUGCCAAUGGCACUGCCCGGUAGCUAAAUGCGGAAGAGAUAAGUGCUGAAAGCAUCUAAGCACGAAACUUGCCCCGAGAUGAGUUCUCCCUGAGACUUAAAGUCUCCUGAAGGAACGUUGAAGACGACGACGUUGAUAGGUCGGGUGUGUAAGCGCAGCGAUGCGUUGAGCUAACCGAUACUAAUGAACCGUGAGGCUUAACCUU
rnacentral:rRNA from 1 species